UGUGCUCUACUAUAUUUUCCUGUGUAUUCAAAAGUAUCUUUUUGAAAAUGGAAGGGUAGAUGACAUUUUCUCCGAUCUUUAUUAUGUUCGGUUCACGGAGUGGCUACAUGAAGUUCUGAAGGAUGUUCAGCCCCGUGUCACUCCACUUGGCUAUGUCUUGCCCAGCCACGUGACUGAGGAGAUGCUAUGGGAGUGCAAGCAGCUUGGGGCUCACUCCCCCUCCACCUUGCUGACCACCCUCAUGUUCUUUAAUACCAAGUAAGUGUUCUAGAGGCUCCACUGCUGGCAUCUGUCCAGUGAAGAGUGUGGAAACUAUCCAGGAGGCCUUCUG
rnacentral:sRNA from 1 species